rnacentral:lncRNA from 1 species
ACUCUCCCUGGAUGCUGGAGGCUGCUCCGCCGUGGGCAGGAGGAGAAGGAAGAGAACUGGGUGCCGCCUGCCUGCACUCUCUCCGGAUGCUGGAGGCUGGAGGCAGUGAGGCAGCAACAGCGCGAGGGCGAGGCGACUUUGGAGCUGCCUCAUGCAGCGACCUCGCCUUCCGCUGCGCCUCCUCCCAGAACCCAAGAAGCCUGGAACCUGUGGCGUCCAGCCCUGAAAGGAGGAGACGGCAACCCAGCCGCGCGUGAGUCCGGGAGUCUGGGAUACCGGCGGCAGAGGAAGGACAGGCAGGAGUCUCGGCCUCUCGGGGAGCGACGUGCCGGGAAAGUUUUGCCUGCACUCUCCCUGGAUGCUGGAGGCUGGAGGCAGUGACGCAGCAACAGCGCGAGGCGACUUUGGAGCGGCCUCAUAUAGCGACCUCGCCUUCCGCUGCGCGUCCUCCCAGAGCCCAAGAAGCCCGGAACCUGUGGCAUCCAUCUCUGAAAGGAGAAGACGGCAACCCAGCCGAGGCACUACUGGGUUGGGGUCUCCACGACCGAGCUGGUCUCAUCAAGUGGCGUCCAACAAGGGGCUCAAACCCGGGUUGAGGGGUUGCUGGAGCGACGGAGAACGUGGAACUACACUGGAGGACACCAGAGUACUCUUAAGCAAUCCCUUGGCCAAAACCAGCAACUGAUUUGGAUACCAUCAAGACACCUGAAAUCUUGUCAUGAGCCAGAUACUGAGGAAGAGAUUUUGGGAAGAACCCAAGGACCCCCCAGUUGCAGCCAUGUCAAGACUGACAAUAAGGAAGACAUCAGUCCCAGCAAGCAACAUUCAUCGGGCACAGCCACCCAUGUGGGGCCAGAUCAAGAAGUUGACACAGAUGGCGGAAGAAAAUCUGAAGAAAGCGGAUGACCAGCUACAAUGAGUAAUCUAAUGUCUGCAGAUGUGGAUCCCGAAUCCUGCGAGAAGUAGCCCACCAUGACGAAGCUGCCUUUGCUUUUAUCGCUUUGCAAAAACAGAAAAGGGGACAUGCUGGGAACAGGCCCUAAGCCUGUCAUAAACAGGCCUUAAACUGACCAUGAACAGGAUUUCUGCACGAAUGUGACGUGCUCCUGAUGGCUAUGACGCCCACUGCUAGAAGUUGUUAGUUUACUGGAGCAGGGUAGGGAACACCUGGCCCACCCGGAGCGGAAAACUGCUCAAACCACAAACAACAGCAUGAGUGGCCUGAGCCUUAACAACAUGUUUUUGCUGCAGAUAAUCGGCCAGAGACUGUUUCUCUACUCCUCUCUAAGUAUGCUUUGUUUUUCGUAAGGAAUGCUUUUAGCUAAUCUGUAACCUAUAGAAACAAUGCUUAUCACUGGCUUGCUGUCAAUAAACAUGUGGGUCAAACUCUGUUUGUGGCUCUCAGCUCUCAAGGCUGUUUUCCCCCUGAUUCCCACUUUGCACUUUAUUUCUGUGUGUUUGUCUUCAUUCCUCUAGCACCACUGGGUUGGGGUCUCCUUGACCAAGCUGGUCUCGGCACAUAUGCAUGUAUGCCCAGGUCCUGAAAUCAGCCUUGUGGAGCCUGUGGGUAGGAAAAGUCAACCCUCUGUGCAUGUAGGCCUGGAACCUGACCAAUACUGUAUUUUCCUACCACGUUUGGUUUCAAAUGUGGAAACUGCCCAUACGGACCUACUGCAUUUGUUUUUAAAAAUCCUCUGUAAGUGGACCUGCACAGUUCAGGCCCAGAUUGUUCCAGGAUCAACCCUACAGUAGAAAUCAAGUAUCUUUUUCAUUGUCUCUUGGGAUCUGCCUUUUCACCAAUAAAAUAUGAGGGCUGUUGGGAGCAGGCCCCCCCAAAUCUGGCCAUAAACUGUCCCCAAAACUGGCCAUAAACAAAAUCUCUGCAGCACUAUAACAUGUUCAUAAUGGCCAUAACGCCCAAGUUGGAAGGUUGUGGAUUUACAGGAAUGAGGGCAAGGAACACCUGGCCUGCCCAGGGUGGAAAACCACUUAAAGGCAUUCUUAAGCCACAAACAAUAGCAUGAGUGAUCUGUGCCUUAAGAACAUGCUCCUGCUGCAGUUAACUAGCCCAACAUAUUCCUUUAAUUCAGUCCAUCCCUUCGUUUCCCAUAAGGGAUACUUUUAGUUAAUUUAAUAUCUAUAGAAAGAAUGCUAAUGACUGGUUUGCUGUUAAUAAAUACGUGGGUAAAUCUCUGUUUGGGGCUCUCAACUCUGAAGGCUGUGAGACCCCUGAUUUCCCACUUGACACCUCUA